UUCUAGGUACAACAGAGCCUAUGAGUUGAAGAUGAAUGAACGUUGUGAUGUUUUCCAAAAACAUCUGAGGAUGGCUGUGAUAAAACCACUAGGAGCGCAACUGCAUGUAAUGAGGUACCAAAACUUAAUGUUAAACACUGUGCUUUGUUAUGUAUUUAUGGUACUGUCUAUGAAAAGCAGUACCAAAAACAUUUAGUAGGUUUUUGACCUAGAUAGGUUUAGUAACUGGCACAAUGAUGACUUAAAUUACUUUUUGCCGUUUACCCAGCUGAGGGUUUCUUUGAAGAAAUAAUUUGAAGACUGAGAUGCCAGUUAUGUAUAUUGUUUAUGUGAAUUACUCAAGUAUAAUGCAAUUUUUCAUUAAAAUGGGUUAUAUGUUCUUUUCAGCAUGUAGGUAGCUGCAGAUGAAUGUCCAAGUCCAUAACUGUUGUGGUUAAAAAUUCUUCAUUGCCUCGGUAAGUAAUUCUGGCAAUCACAGCUAAUAAUAAUUCAAAAGUAUCUGA
rnacentral:lncRNA from 1 species